rnacentral:lncRNA from 1 species
AAGAGAAGAGCAUAUAAGGAGGUGUAAAACUAUCAGUAAAAUCCAGCAUCAAUCAAAGUUCAUAAACUGGAAGAUGAAUCAUCAGAGAUGCUAAGGAUAUCAUCUAACACAGAGUAUCGAGGGAUAAUUCCCCAUCAGAUUCUCAAAUGCAUGGGAAGCAAAUCCAAAUGUGUCCACGUUCACCCUAUUUGGCAGUUUCUUAUCGUCGGGAACUCUGGUUGAGGUCCUAAGUUACUCUUCCCCUUCAACCACACUUUUUGAGGUCAACUUUUGUUCCUGAGGAUUAAUAUCGAAUUUUGUUAGUUUUCGACCACACACCAGAUGAGACAAAUUCAUAUAUCACCUGAUAUUCUUGAUAUUAUAUCCAUCCAACGAGAUAUUGAAAUCAAUAUAAGACCACAAUAAAAGGUGAUUAAUAGAAUAGAAAAGCUCAAGCAUAAAACUAUAAACAACCAUGAUGUGACGACCAAUAGCACGAUAAUUUGAUGGGUGAUCCCAUCCAUCACUUGAGUGGUGAAACAUACAAAUAUUAAACAUACAAACAUACAAUCUUUAAUUCUUAUAUUAUUUGUAUGAGUUAGAUGAGAAAAAAAAUCAAAGGUGAGUCACAUGAAAAAAACAAAAGAAAAAGAGAGAUUCAAUAAUUAAUUCUGAUUGCCAUGAUCUUCUGAUACACUGAUCUAGAUAUAUUAUGCUCUUUGAUAUUUCUUCUUUUGAUUUAUUUUUUCUCCUGGUUUCUUGAAACUCAUCUAAGUUUCUACAUUUCAUAUCAUAUUUAAUAUUCUUUGAUUAAUCUAGAAAGUUUGAACUCUGAAAUCCUAUUAUUUUAUAUUUUUUUUUCCCUUUUUCUAUAUAAAUCUUAUCUUGUGAUUUCUUAGUAUUAUAUCACUAAUCUGACUAGCCUGAACUAUUAGAUUAUUUAUAAUAUAUUUAGUAUUAAAUUAUAUCUUAUUUAAUUCAUAUAAAGAAAAAAAAAUUAUGAUGUUGAUCACUUUCACAUAUCUUUCACUCCAUAUCUAAUCUUUUUCUCUAACAUAAUUUAUGUUUCAUCAUAAUAUUUCUUGCAAAAGAGAAGUGACAAGGAAAGCUUGUUACAGAUACCGUUGCAUCAGUGAGAAAGAAUCAUGGUGAACGGGAAACACAUGGCUGAAUGGCUACCGAAAAAAUCAAACUUGUUCAAAUCCAACUCAUAUAAGUACAAAUAUAAAAGUACCUUUCUUUCUUUGAAGCUUCAGCAAACAUGAGAGAUUGGCAGCCAUAAAUUAUGAGACAUGGAUCAUUGUAGGCUGAGGCAGCCAGGCAAGAAA